UGAUGACUGUUCCUCCUAUUGCUUUGAGGGCUGGCAUUAGGAUUUUAAGUCAUCAUAAAUUGAAAUUUGAUUUUCUUCACUCAGAGAAUAUUAGGAUAAUGGGAUUAUCUGUCUAUUCUCUGAAAUUUGCGGAAUCAAACAAUU
ensembl:snoRNA